rnacentral:tRNA from 1 species
GCCCCGCGUAGCUCAAUCGGACAGAGCGCCGGUCUCCUACAGCGGAACCGUGCGGGUUCGACUCCCGCCGCGGGCACCA